ACGGAUUAAAAAUGUAAUGUGCCAAUCUAAAAUCCUAGUUUAUAUGGGUCCGAUGUUGCAUGUCAUUGUUUUAUUUUCUAGAUGGCACCAUAAUCAAUGAAAUGCCGCCCACCUUAAUUUUCUACACCACUACAGGACUGUGAGAAUGCCAACGCUAAUAUUCGCAAACUUAAAAUGUGAUUUAUCAUGGGCUGGGUAGCCUGGGUCAGAAAUAUAUCCGCAAAAUAUUGUC